rnacentral:misc_RNA from 1 species
AAAAGAUUAAAUGCCCUAUUUUGCUAGAUACUCAAUAUUUUACUAAUGAAAAAGAUUUAACCCUAUGGACUAGGAUUUGUACUAAGUACAUUGUUUGGGGAUUCUAAAUGAAAAUGGAUUUGGAUAAAAUCCAAAUCCCAUGUAUUCAUGACAAACUUAAAAACUAAAAAUUUAAAAUAACUAAAUUUACUUUGUUAUUUCAAACCCAUCUCACUACAAUUAAAUGUAUCAGCUUUACAUAAUAACACAACUUUUAGGAAUUUCCAUGAAAUUUAUUUUUACUAGCUAAACAUAAGAUU